GGGGAACUAGUUCAAGUGGUAAAGCGCUUGCUUUGCAUGCGUGAGGCAGUGGGAUCAAUACCCACAUUCUCCA
rnacentral:tRNA from 1 species